rnacentral:tRNA from 1 species
AGAAAGUUAGUCUAACUAAGACAGCUGAUUUCGGCUCAGCAGAUUAUAGCAAAUUCUAUAACUUUCUU